UUCAGAAUGUGGUCUUCUGGGUUGUCGCGACCCCUGAAACCCUUGAGUUGAGCUAAAUCUGUAUUUAACUCGUCGUAAGCUGCGGUCACGUGACGUGGAAUGGCCGUUGCCGCUGGAAAGAAGUGUGUACUACCAUGUGAUUACCGGACGCCAUGUCUGGACUAGUGACCUACAAGAAGCGAGCGGUGAAGAUUCCGCCUAAAAAGUGUAAGAACAGACACACAAUGAGGAUUAACGAAACAGGAGGCACAUGGGUAACGAAUUUACAAUUACAAUUCAGUAAAUGUUCCGUCAGAAACAAUGCGGGAAAUAAAACGAAGAUAGCGUUUUCAAAAACGACUUUAGAGGUACGUGUUUGGUAAUAUGAUGUCCGGCCAGUCUUGUCAGAGGUGAAUUAUUUCGAAUAUACUUUCUGAAUAAAACACAACUACGUACAGUGUUUUGGUUAUGUGCGAACUGUUGAGUUCAAGCAGGUUUAACCCCCCCCCCCUCCCCAAGUGUUAUAAUGAGGUGGCUACAACAACCGCUUGGUACUCGGGCUUCGGGCAGACGACCUGAAAAACGAACUCAACUGUCAAGAUGAACAAUGUCCUCUUUUUUUGUUUAUUUUCAAGAAAGACCGCUCUAAACAAAGGCAACGAACAAGGAACUUGUGUCUGCAGUUACGUAUUUAUUGUGCAAAGUGCUUCAGAAAACAAAGGAGAAGGUACGCGGCUGAUGUAAUUCCGCACAUUCCACUUAGAGAGAAUUUUUGUUGAUUUGGUUCCUGUAGAGGGCGUUUGUAACUGGAGGUGUUUUCAUGGAAAUAAUUUCUAAUUUCGCAAAGUAAAUAAAAAUCAUAUUUGUCCGCGUGACUAAUCAACUCACCAUCAAUGCUUAUAAGAGGGAGGGGGUAGACGUAACCCAUUUCUUAAUCUGGACACUAGAUGGAAAUAGUAGUUCUGGUUCGGCCGUUCUACCACCGAAAAACAAACAGCAGUUUCUGACUAACAGGCUGGCGAGUUUCAAAGUCGGUCUGGACUUCAUGAGGGCAACAGAAAUCUCAUUCCUUCUUGGAAUUGAACCAAGGCCUUUCAGUCGUAGCAAGUCAAUUCACUGAGUUAACAAUUCAGAUUUUAGAAACGGUGUGUAAGUCAGUGUUGUUGUGUUACAGAUUUGUAUUCGCUGGGAGGGCAAGAACAAUCUCGCGUUUUAUGAUCCAGACACGACAGAAACGAAGUUACUGAUUUAAUUCUUUUGGACUUGCCCAUUCCAUUGUCUGGUUUUUUUAGUUUCAGUAUUCUAAAAAAUGCUACUUUUCAAAGGAUUGAUCUUGUUUCGUAUUUAGGUAAAAAAUAGGAGGGAGAGAACUUCUAUUGGAUCCGGUAGUCCGAGAUAUUCCAGAUAUCAAAAUUUCCGGGAAUCGUACGUAUCUAUUUACGAAACAUUUUGAUAAACACAGGUCAGGCGAAUUGGUACUCAGUAGGGUUAGGUGAUGAGAUCUUUUAAUUUCCAAGGGGCUCGCGCAUACACAAAAUAAGCCCCUUCGAGGGACUUGGAAAAAGGUUGAGAAAAUUCAGACAUUAAUUUGGGGGCCAAAACAAAAGAGAUUUGUUUAUAUUUAUAAGAGAGAUUCUCUGCGUUUUGUUGUAUACAGCAAACCUUUUGACUUCAAUACGAUUAAAUCGCGGUGUUUCACUCUGAAGCGAAGUUACAGAAUAUGGUAGUUAAAAAGAAAUAAAUUUGUUUUGUCUCAACGAAAAAGAAAAAAAAGGCAGCCUUUCUCCAGGGAACACGUCCAGUUUAUCAAUUAACAAUACCAUUGUCCUUUAGAAUUAAAACACGUGAACAUUCUAAAGUUUUCAAACGACUUGAAAAGAAUAUUAAAAGUUUCCUUACACAUAAAACAUUCCAAUAAGUACUGACUUGUAAAUAUGUAUAGAAUUAUAAUUAAUUUGAAACUACUGAUUCUUUUAUGUACGAAUGAACUGUCUGUGGAAUGUAGUUUCCUGUGCUGUAAUAUAAACUCACUCUUUAACAAAACAGACAUUUUGUGAUUACGAAAAUUUUGUGUCAUUUUGUGUGAAGUUGGAAAGUUUAUUGUAAAAAGAACAUUUUUUUUAUAUUUGAAAGAGUCAACUCUGUCUUCUGUGUUUACAUUCCGGGAAGUGUGCUAUCUGCUUCUGUGCACGAGCGUAGUGUAACGUAAAUAUUAUUAUCCGGUUAUAUUUGCUUAUAUUGCUACCGACAAAUUCGAAAUUUUGUGUACGCAUUCACACUGAAGUCUGUGAAAAUAAGAAUAAGUAGAGGAAUUGUGCACAGUGUACGUAGUAAUGCUUUAUUACAUCUGUACAACCUGAAUUUAUUUUGAAGGACGAAGAAAGUGACUGUGAUGAUGCGUUAUCAUAUGA